rnacentral:rRNA from 1 species
GACAGAGGGUGCAAACGUUGUUCGGAAUUACUGGGCGUAAAGCGCGUGUAGGCGGCCUCGCAAGUCGGGUGUGAAAUCCCUCGGCUCAACCGAGGAAGUGCAUUCGAAACUGGCUGGCUUGAAUAUGGAAGAGGGUCGCGGAAUUCCCGGUGUAGAGGUGAAAUUCGUAGAUAUCGGGAGGAACACCAGUGGCGAAGGCGGUUACCUGGAGCUUUGCUGACGCUGAUGCGCGAAAGCGUGGGGAGCGAUCCGG